rnacentral:rRNA from 1 species
GACGAACCGUACGAACGUUAUUCGGAAUCACUGGGCUUAAAGGGUGCGUAGGCUGCGCAGCAAGUUGGGUGUGAAAUCCCUCGGCUUAACCGAGGAACUGCGCCCAAAACUGCUGUGCUCGAGGGAGAUAGAGGUGAGCGGAACUUAGGGUGGAGCGGUGAAAUGCGUUGAUAUCCUAAGGAACACCGGUGGCGAAAGCGGCUCACUGGAUCUCUUCUGACGCUGAGGCACGAAAGCUAGGGUAG